GGUUGAGGCUCCUCAUCAUCCGUCUCCAACUCCGAAGAUGAAUACAUGUAUGUGCGUGUUGGUUUCUUCUUUCUCUUCCCUCUCCCAGUUUCCUUAUCAGUCUCCAUUGAUUGCCCGUCACACAUCUUGUUCCUUUUUCUGAUGAGAUUAUCCUUGGAUCCUUUAAACAAUUUUGAAACAAAUUAAAAAAUUAACUAUACAAUUUCAAACAAACUCACUUGGAGCUUUCCCACUCCUCAUUUGGUUUGGUUUAUGGAAAUAAUUAAUACAAAAAUCACUUUUCAAAUGUCUCCAUAAUCAUGAUAAUUGCUUUAACAUAUCAGGGAGACCCCGAAAAAUUUUUUUAACAGGCUAGGGCACUUCUAAAAAAUAAUCAUGCACAUAAUCAUGUUUAUGUCAGAUUGUCAAUUUCUAGUACCUACCUCAUCAUUCAUGCAGCUCGUCAGCGCCACACAUACAGACAUAACUCUGGGGCGAUCCGAAUCCACUCAAAAGUGAACAAAAAACUAAAAAAGUUCACAUUUGUGCAGUUGGCCACGGGAGGGAAGUCUCGGAAGCCAUUAAAUGACUGAAUUUGUGCCGAAUGGAGGGGGAAAUCCGAUUCUUUUAUGGAGGCACAGCAAAGCUAGCAUAUUGCGUCAUAUUUUGGUGGUAAUUAAGUAUUGCAUGAUUUUAUUAUUUUAAAGCUGAAUUCAGCUGCACAAAUGUGAACUUUUUUUGUUCACUUUUGAGUGGAUUCGGAUCGCCACGCGCAGCGUGGCAAUCCUCGGAGUUAACAGACAUGUAACUCCGGGGAUCGCUAGCGCGACAGCGCUAGUGAUCCGGAGCCAAAAAUGUCUAAUGGGAGUAAUGCGCAGCGAAAAACUGCUUUAAAAUAAUUAAAAAAAAAAAAAAAAAAAAAAUCUGCUAGCGAUGCCCGGAGUUAAAUAACAGACAUGUUGAUAAUGCAUGUGAGGCUUGGUCUUGGAAAUUUACUAGUACUACGUGAUCAUGUGGUCAGUGCCACUGUUUACAUCGCACUCACUGCAAUAUACCAACAUCAUGGCAAUGUACGAACAUCAGAACAUAAAUCACAGACAAUGUUUAUAAUAUAGAAGAGUAGCUAGUAGAACAUUCAAAUACAAAGUCAAAUUCAGUUAACAAAAAUAACGGUAAAGCCUAAAGGUCUACAAUUGCACACCCCCCUGGCAUUUCAAAAGUGUAUGGCCGAUUGAGAUGAAAUUUGCACAAAUUGAUGCUCUAAUAAUGAUUAAUACAUUACGAUAUCGGCAUCGACAUCCAAUGCGAUCGCAAUGGAGAGUAGUUGUUGCCUCCGAUCGUACAACCAAUUGUGAUCAAUCCCAAACAAUAAUAACGCUGAUCAUAACAUGUGAUAAACUUUUUUCCAUUAUGAAUAUAAAUUAUAAGGGAAAAAAUAACAGAAAAAAAUGUAAAAAGUCUUGUUAAUGUUAUCACACUCACAGCGUUAUAAUUGUUUGUGAUCCAUCACAAUUGGUUGUACGAUCGGAGGCAACAACUACUCUCCAUCGGCAUCGCAAUCGCAGCCAUUGCCAUGUUGACACCGAUAAGGCGAUAUCAGAACACCAUAAGGAUCGUUCAGAGUGUUCAGAAAGCCCCCUACCCUGUCCUACCACCGGGUUAUCGCUUCGUCAACCCACCACCAAUACCACCACUACAACCACUACCACCACCGCCACCACCAUCAUCACAUCCAACGCCAGCACAUCACACAUCCACAGGGCCGUGCCCUUCUCUUCCACCACUACCAGCAACAGGGGAGUGUCAUGCUCUACCAGUACCAGUAGCACCAGGACCGCGCCCUUCAUUACUACUACCAACCACGGUACCACACCCCAUUCUUCCCCCACCACCACCACCGCCACCAUCUGGACCACACCCCUGUCUACCGGUGCACCAUAUACCUUUCCCAGUGUUACACCCACAGCCUCGGGCCGAUCUACCUCCUGUAUUGCAUAUGCGAUCUGGAUACGAUGGACAUCCUGUACAAACGAUUUCUAUACCCAGUCUGCAUCGUAGUCACUCAAGUGGAAUUAUUCAAGAAAGUGGGUCUACCGCCCUCUCCUGGCUCAUAAACUUUCACGGAAGUGUCGGUGUCCCUCCAAUAGACGGUGCGGAUCAGGAUGUUAUCAUGCUAGGGUCAACGACGCACGUUUCGACCAAUCAAAACAAAAAAGUGAAUCACGUGACCUCAAGGAAGAAAUCCCGGCGUUGCAAAGCAACCCUAGUCACGUGAUGCCAAGACGAGAACUUCUUUGACAAUUCGAAAAACACAUUUUCUCCCAGUUUGAUUAUUCGUAAUUUUUGUUUUGAAUGGCCAAUUCAAUCAUGAACAAAUAUGUAAAUUGCACGAAAUUUUUUUUUUGCUUAUGUAUUGGACAUUGUAAGCGUUAAAAUAUAGAAUGUUACAUUGCUAUCGUGAUAAGCAUGGAUGUGCUAGGAGCAACGAUGCAGGUGUCAACCAAUGAGAACAAUAAAAUGAAUCACGUGACAUCAAGGAAGAACCAUAAUGAGUACUUUUCUAAAGUUCAUUCGUUAUUUUUUUAAAUACCCAAUUCACUUUAACAAUUGAAACUGCACGAAAAGGAGAUAGCUUUUAUAUUUGAAAUGUUUAACUAUCAAAAUGUAAAAUACUAUUUUUUCAACCUUUGGGAGUAAACAUGCUUUGCUUCAAAACAUGCAAAAGACUGGAGAUAUAAAAAAAAAAUAAUCGAUAUGUUUUCCUCAUACAGUUUUUAAGAAGCCAUUGAGAGAAUUAUUUGUCGGUUUUUGUUGUUGUUGAAAUAUUCAUUUAUCAUAACACAGGAUCUUGUGAUUAUUAUCUGUUUAUUGGUAUUGAGGUACUAAAGAAAGCAACGCUGACCCUAAAAUAUAUUGAUAACUUAUAAGUGUUUUCCAUAUAUUUUUGUCACCUUAUUUUCCAUGAAAUGGCAUUAUUGUUAUGAAUUAUUAUUGUUUUUUGACCUCCAGAAGACACUUAUUCAAGCACGUGUUUAAAAGAAACUGGUAUUCUUAUAUACACUUUUAUUGCUUUGUUAUAUUAAAGCAGUGUAGAUAUACAGAAAAAUUGGAUGUUGCCUUAGUUAUUUAGACUUCGUUUACAGGCAUGAGACGCACUGUGUGAAGUUGUAACGCGAUUUAUAUGACAAUGACAUUUCAUAAUUAUGUUCUCUUGAAAACGUUGAUGCUUGGAGGUUUUAUUUGUUUAACUAUUUGAUAUAAUAAAUCCUUGACUGUGUUUUUAGGUCUCCACAUUAUUUGGAAUAUAUGUAUAUACAUUUUUUUACUGUCUUUCACCUUUUCUUUUUUUUCUGAUUUUAUUUAGUUAGAAUAAGCCAAAUGUGCCUUGCUAACCAAAGAUUUUGUCAAAGUAACUUUGAACUUGAAGGUGGUAUUAUGCCUUUGCCUUUUUUCGUUAAACAAACAAAAACAUGUUUGCCAUGAAGAUGGAUUUUAUUUCUUUUGCUAUUGGUAAGAAAAAUUCAGGCGAUUAUUUUUUCAAAAAGACCAUUAUGCUGAUAAGAGUAUGUCAAAAUCUGUUGAAAGAGAAUAGGCUAGAAUAUAAUUUAUGCCUAUAUAGUGUGUUCUAAAAAUAGUGCCUUACAAAGGUUGGUGAACUUUUUGUAGGGCAGUGAAAUUACAAUGCAAACGUGGAUUGUUUUAUAUUUGGUCACGAAACACUUAAUUUUUAUUUAUACUCGUGCAUUUUCAGUAUUUAUUUUUUGUUAAAGUAAUUAAACACUGUUAAAAAUAAUCUAAACAACGCUGUAUAUACGCUAUAUAAAUCACACAGUAGUUGUUUAAACAGUUUAAACAGGUGUUUAAAAUCUUAAACAACCAUGCUUAUUUAUUGAUAAUUAAAUAUUAGAAUUUAAAAUUGGUUGUUUACGACUUUUAAACACUUGUUUUUCCACAUGUCCGGGGGGUACUUGUCCGGGGGGUAAAUGUCCGGGGGGUAGAUGUCCUAGGGGGUACAUGUCCUAGGGGGUACAUGUCCUAAGGGGGUGGAUGUCCGGGGGGUGGAUGUCCGGGUGGUAAAUGUCCGGGGGGUGGAUGUCCAGGGGGUAGAUGUCCUAGAAUCGUUUUUCCAAACAUCAUUCGUAUAAAGAAUUUCUGCCUGAUAGUAUACAGCCAAGGUUCUAUAGAGAUUUUAGUGGCUCUGAACGCCUUCGGUAAAAUAUUUAUUUUCUUUGCGUGUAUUUACGUGGUAAAUAUGAAUUUGAAGAUGCAACGUCCAAAAAUAUGGAUACGUUUUCUUUCAUUUUCAUGGCUGCCAGUUUUAGCAAGUAUUUUUCCCUUUUUUCGUUCAAUUAAAAACAAAAAAGACUCGUUGAAAAUCCUUUUUUAAAUGUGAUUUCUGCUUUUAUUUUUUUAGGCAACCAUUUACAGCCAAGACUGGUGAUAUGAGCCAAGAACACAGUUUAAUAUGAAAUUAAGACGAUAUUUCAGUAUUAAAAAAAUGCAUGCAAAUACAAGCAUAGCAUUUGAUAGGGCUUAAGAAAUCUUCUGUAUGUUUUUAUGUUUAUUAAUAACUUUGAUGAUUAUUCUUUUUGGAUUGUGUUUUGAACAAUUCUAGAAAUUUAUUAUCUGUGUUUCUUUUUUUCAUAUGAACACAUUACUUUGUUGUAAUGAUUUUAUCUGUGUGAGGUGAUAUAAGUUGAUCCCAAUAAAUGUUUAUUGGAUAGAAACAUG